AGACCACACACUGCUUUGCUGAAUGUUCUGCCUUUUGCUAUCUUGUGAUGCCCUUGGACUUUCCGGCCACCAAAUUAUCAUCAGGAUCUUGGAUACACAUAUGUUCCAGCAUGUUUUCAAGCUGACCCAGGUAUCCAAAUCCUUGGUCGCUCAUGUGGCUUCCAACAUUGCAGGCUGUCAGCUUCAAAUAGAGCAGAAAAUCCGGAUUAUUUUUAAAGCGACUGUUUAUCAAUAUAUACUGUGUAGCACACAGUAGGCGAUCAGUGGAGACCUGGCAAGUGGU